rnacentral:rRNA from 1 species
UACAGAGGGUGCAAGCGUUGUUCGGAAUUAUUGGGCGUAAAGGGCAUGUAGGCGGUUUGCUAAGUCAUGUGUGAAAUCCCCCGGCUUAACCGAGGAACGACGCAUGAUACUGGCAAGCUAGAGUACCAAAGAGGGGGGUGGAAUUCCCGGUGUAGCGGUGAAAUGCGUAGAUAUCGUGAGGAAUACCAGAGGCGAAGGCGGCUCCCUGGACAAUUGCUGACACUCAGGCACGAAAGCGUGGGGAGCAAAAGG